AAAUACCACCUUUUGACUCUUGCUGAUGUGAUAUAUAUAUAGAGCUACGCUGGUAUACUAUCGGUAGCACGGAGGCUUCCGUGCUACCAAGUUGUUUUCAAUAAUGCGAUUUCGAAAUCGACUAUCGGCUCUUUUAGACUUGAUCUACACUAUUAAAAGUAUUUGGAAACUAAAUUUCAUAAUUUUUCGAUAUUAUUUGGCUAGUGAUCAAAAGGUCUUAAAAUUGACAAUUUUAAUGAUAAAUGUUAUGCAUUUUUGAAUUUAACGGUGUAAAAUAAUUCAAAUUUGAUGAAAUUUUUAUAAAAAAUUCUUUUCACUAUUUAGAGUAAGAUCAGCACCUCUGAUCUUAAAUUCAAGUCUUUUAUCAUUAUUUUUUAUGAGAUUUUUAUUUUCAGCAGUUCAUUUUUAGACUACUCGUUUCAUAAGUAAAUGAUGCCGAAAAAUUAUGAAAUUUAGUUUCUAAAUACUUUCAAUAGUGUAGAUCAAGUCUAACGGAGCUGAUUGCCGAUUUGGAAACCGCAUCAUUAAAAACAACUUGGUAGUUCGUGCUAUCGAUAGUAUACCAGUCUAGUUCUCUCUCUCUCUCUCUCUCUCUCUCUGUCUAUAAUUAUAAUAUAUAUAGAAUUAAGCUAGAAUACUUUUAGGAGUACCAACCUCUUGGUGCUUCUAAUUUCUAGCCUUUGGAUCUACUCCUUAAUUACUAAUACCCCUUGAAUCA
rnacentral:lncRNA from 1 species